CACAUUUGCUGCAGCUGCAGGAGCUGUUGUUGCUCUCCUAGUUAUAACACCUCUUUUUGUCUUCUUGUGGAUUAGGAGGAAAAGAAGGACUUCAGGUACCGAAGCAACAGUCAACAUGGAGCAGUUAAACCCUGGUCCUGUGAAUGAAAACAUCUCAGCCCAACCAACACAGCAGGAUGAUCUUCACUGUAGCAGAGUCCACUUCUCUAAGACCCAGACACAUCCUCUCUACUCCAACGUCCAGCCACACCAGUCUAAAGAACAGGACGAUGUCGCUUCUGCUGUUGUCAACUUUAGACCCAACAGGACCCCAAAGUGAUCAACCAUUACAACUGAUUCAAGAUCCACUUAGUGACCUUGCUCAUCUUGAACAGUACUAUUUUCAACAACCCUUCAAUACACAUAUAGUGUUGGGGUGUAUCUGACACACCACAGGUCUGAUGUUAAUAAAUCUUGGUGAGAUGUUUCGCAGUGGGAAACCUUUCUGCCUGAUAUAUGCCAGACUUCAAUGUCACAUUUCAAGGUUUCUAAUCUCUGGCACCAUUACACUCCACUCCACGUUUAGCAUCAGUUACCCAAAAGUACUGAACACUUUGAAACAGCAGAUCAAGUGUAUCUGAAGACUUUUUCACAUUUGCUAGAAAGAAGACAACACUUGUAAUAUAGAGAAUAAUUAUUGUGAUACAUAUGUGUUUUGGCUUGUGUCCCUCAUCAGUGGAACACACAGAGAACAUUUAAAUGAGAUGAAGUAUGAUGUAAAUAUUUGGACCACAUUUUCACAUGCUGUCUUGCUUUGUGCAGAUUUUUAGAUUUGUUGUGGAUUGUUGACGGACAUGUUGCAUCAUUGAGAACAGAAUACUUAUAGUAGAUUAACCAAUGGCAUUGCCAGACCACAAUGCAAUGACAUGUAAGCUU